rnacentral:rRNA from 1 species
AGUGAACGCUGGCGGUAGGCCUAACACAUGCAAGUCGAACGGCAGCACAGUAAGAGCUUGCUCUUACGGGUGGCGAGUGGCGGACGGGUGAGGAAUACAUCGGAAUCUACUUUUUCGUGGGGGAUAACGUAGGGAAACUUACGCUAAUACCGCAUACGACCUACGGGUGAAAGCAGGGGAUCUUCGGACCUUGCGCGAUUGAAUGAGCCGAUGUCGGAUUAGCUAGUUGGCGGGGUAAAGGCCCACCAAGGCGACGAUCCGUAGCUGGUCUGAGAGGAUGAUCAGCCACACUGGAACUGAGACACGGUCCAGACUCCUACGGGAGGCAGCAGUGGGGAAUAUUGGACAAUGGGCGCAAGCCUGAUCCAGCCAUACCGCGUGGGUGAAGAAGGCCUUCGGGUUGUAAAGCCCUUUUGUUGGGAAAGAAAAGCAGCAGGUUAAGACCCCGCUGUUCUGACGGUACCCAAAGAAUAAGCACCGGCGAACUUCGG